GCCUGUGUAGCUUAGUGGCAGAGCGUGGGGCUUUUAACCCCAAGGUCGCGAGUUCACUCCUCGCCGCGGGCU